rnacentral:rRNA from 1 species
CAAUAGCGUAUAUUAAAGUUGUUGCAGUUAGAACGCUCGUAGUCGGAUUUCGGGGCGGGCCGACCGGUCUGCCGAUGGGUACGCACUGGUCGGCGCGUCCUUCCUUCCGGAGACCGUCCCUACUCUUAACUGAGCGGGGGCGGGAGACGGAACGUUUACUUUGAAAAAUCAGAGUGUUUCAAGCAGGCAGUGCGCUCUUGCAUGGAUUAGCAUGGGAUAAUGAAAUAGGACUUUGGUGCUAUUUUGUUGGUUUCGAACACCGAAGUAAUGAUUAAAAGGGACAGUCAGGGGCACUCGUAUUCCGCCGAGAGAGGUGAAAUUCUCAGACCAGCGGAAGACGAACCACUGCGAAAGCAUUUGCCAGGGAUGUUUUCACUGAUCAAGAACGAAAGUUAGGGGAUCGAAGAUGAUUAGAUACCGU